GUCUAACCAUGCAGUCGACGGCAGCACAGGAGAGCUUGCUCUCUGGGUGGCGAGUGGCGGACGGGUGAGGAAUACAUCGGAAUCUACUCUGUCGUGGGGGAUAACGUAGGGAAACUUACGCUAAUACCGCAUACGACCUACGGGUGAAAGCAGGGGAUCUUCGGACCUUGCGCGAUUGAAUGAGCCGAUGUCGGAUAAGCUAGUUGGCGGGGUAAAGGCCCACCAAGGCGACGAUCCGUAGCUGGUCUGAGAGGAUGAUCAGCCACACUGGAACUGAGACACGGUCCAGACUCCUACGGGAGGCAGCAGUGGGGAAUAUUGGACAAUGGGCGCAAGCCUGAUCCAGCCAUACCGCGUGGGUGAAGAAGGCCUUCGGGUUGUAAAGCCCUUUUGUUGGGAAAGAAAUCCAGCUGGCUAAUACCCGGUUGGGAUGACGGUACCCAAAGAAUAAGCACCGGCUAACUUCGUGCCAGCAGCCGCGGUAAUACGAAGGGUGCAAGCGUUACUCGGAAUUACUGGGCGUAAAGCGUGCGUAGGUGGUCGUUUAAGUCCGUUGUGAAAGCCCUGGGCUCAACCUGGGAACUGCAGUGGAUACUGGGCGACUAGAGUGUGGUAGAGGGUAGCGGAAUUCCUGGUGUAGCAGUGAAAUGCGUAGAGAUCAGGAGGAACAUCCAUGGGCGAAGGCAGCUACCUGGACCAACACUGACACUGAGGCACGAAAGCGUGGGGAGCAAACAGGAUUAGAUACCCUGCGUAGUCCACGCCCUAAACGAUGCGAACUGGAUGUUGGGGUGCAAUUUGG
rnacentral:rRNA from 1 species